CCGAGUGAGGGCCUCCGGCCCGACCUCCAACCCUUUGUUGACCAACACCUGUUGCCUCGGGGGCGACCCGGACGCGGACGCGUCGGGCACCCCGACGGACCACUGACCCUGUGUCUGUACGUCGGAGUCUUGAGCGAAUCAAUCA
rnacentral:misc_RNA from 1 species